UAUGGUUUGGUUUGGAUUGGUUUACUCAUUUUGACACUCGUAUUCAUAAAUCAUUGGAUUAAACCAGUGAGUAACAAGCACACAUCAAUUAUUUUAGCCAUUGAUUCUAUUCAUUAGAGAAUAGUAUAAAGUAUUUGAAGACGAUAUUUUUUUCUUGCAAUGUCUCUUUAUUAAUACGAGUUUUAUGUCAGUUUUCUUUUUCUUAUACAUGCCUUUUCUUUUUUUAUUAAGAUCUUUUCAUUUUAUAUCAAUAUCCCUAUUUUUGCCAACAUCAUUUUCCUUGACAGCUUCAUUUUCUUUGCUAACUUCCAAAUUACCAUUUUUAUAUGGGCGGAUGUUAAUUCAAGAGGAGCUUUUACAAGAUGUAAAACCCAUCUAUAACAAUAAGUCCUCCAUUUUGUCGAACAAGUGUUGACCAAGAUCGACAAAUUUGAAAAAAAAACUCUGCAUGAAUUGUGAUCGGCCUAUUGCAGAAGCUGUAGGUUGUCGCGAUGUUUGGAGUCAAUGAGCUCAUGUCAAUUUCAAGACGACAUGUCAUGAAUGCAAGACAUGGUAUUGGCGUACCAUGAUGCUCAAUCUUGCUCAUAUAUUAGUUGUCAUACACAAGAUGUCAUGGAUGCGCUGUCAUAGACAAAUUGUCAUAGACGGAAUGUCAUGGAAAGGAUUCAAGUGAACAAGCUUCUGUUCGGAUUUCUAUACCAUGCAUGGAAAGGCUACAUUGACGUAAUGUUUGGGGGCUAGCAUGAGACAUUAUGGACGAGCCGACAUGGACAAGCCAUUGAGGUAUGAGCUA
rnacentral:lncRNA from 1 species